UACGUAGGGUGCAAGCGUUGUCCGGAAUUACUGGGCGUAAAGCGCGCGUAGGCGGCUUUGUAAGUUAGAGGUGAAAGCCCGGGGCUCAACCCCGGAAUUGCCUUUAAGACUGCAUCGCUUGAAUCCGGGAGAGGUGAGUGGAAUUCCGAGUGUAGAGGUGAAAUUCGUAGAUAUUCGGAAGAACACCAGAGGCGAAGGCGGCUCACUGGACCGGCAUUGACGCUGAGGUGCGAAAGCUAGGGGAGCAAACGGG
rnacentral:rRNA from 1 species